rnacentral:piRNA from 1 species
UGCCAUUUGGAUGAUAUAACG